CUAAUAUUCAUAUCAGCUGAUCCCUAGAGAUCAACUGCAGCUUCCAUUGCAUAAAUGAUUAUUAUCUUCAUUAGCAGCUUGUUUAAUUUUCACAAUUCCUUGCUCUUUUAAAAUUUGUUUUAGAUAAUCAGAAUGGAGAUGGAAAAGUGGAGCACUGAAAAAUAGCUCUCAGGAAAGUCCUGCCAUUCCAGGUGCAUACAAGGAGAUAGAAUUAAGUCUCUUUUAACUUGUAAACACUUCAUGCAGUUGUGCUACCAAUUUUAUACAUGUUUGCUCUAACAAGAACAUGUAUGAAGAGUUCAUUGGAAUGUUUUUGCACUAAGCUUGAGAGGAUUGCAUCUGACAAUCAACCAUGGCGUGACAGGGGCUUUUUCAUAAUAUUCAUUGUUUGUAAAACCAGGCUUGGGGCCACUAUUAGAAUUCUAUGUGAGUACAAACAUCUCUUUAAGCCCUUUAUUACUAUUAUUUGGAACAUGUAUAAAUAAUACUUUUACAAAUGUAUUUAUUUAGUCAGAUACCAACCUGCCUGAACAAUCUGUUGUCUUUUUAUUUAAAAAUGAACAGAUUUAGUUCAUUCUGCAUUAUGGAACUAGAACAGAUCCCAUUUGAAAACCAGUGUGGGCACUCUGCCAAGGCUGAGGUAGAAUUGGUUGGCAUUUAGAGAUUACUCAAUCAGAACAUUUUAUUUAAAGUUUACAUAUAAAUUUAUUAGUGUAAUUUUCUGCAUAGUUUCACAUAAACAUUUUGACUAUUUCAAGAACAGAUUUGGACUACUCUGAAGCCCCAAGUGCAAGCUGAUAAAUGCCUAGUUGCUGUUAUACUCCACUUAGUAUUCCAACACAGACAAACUGAAAUAUGUGAAUGUACUUUUCAGUCGCCUUUCUGUGUAUAUAACAAGAACCCUUUAAUAAAGAUUCUCUGACUUACCAUAUUCCUACCUCACCAUUCAUGUGAAAGUAUUUACAAAAGGUAAGAUUUCAUCACAGGUCCUCUUCCCGGCCUCACUUCCAGCCUUUAUCGUAAUUUUGAGAGGUAGGAAGCUCUUUUCUCUUUUGCACCAGAUUGGAGCACACAGAUCUACUGCUUUCCCUGUAUUCAAAAAAAGCAGCUGCAGUGAUUUUUGUUACUUACUGAUUAUGGUCUUCUCCAAAGGAGAAGUUUCAGAUGUGACACAGAGAUAUAAAGUAACUACAAAUUCUGUUCUGCACAAGAUUUUUAGUUAAAUCAUAAUGACCUAAUUAAGAAACUGAAGAUAAAGAAAAGAAUUGUCUGGAAAAAUUGAAAUCCUUAUAACAAAUUCUUUCAGAAUUGGCAUUAAAAAGAUUUGGAGAAGAAAUCAGUUGUCAGAACAACAUUGAGAAUUUGAGGGAGAGGGACUGUUGGGAUAUAUCACAGCUGAUCAGUCUGGCUGGUCUGAAAGAAGCUAGUCUGAAAUAAAACCUAAGGGAGGUCUUAUUAGAGGAUGGAAUUUAUACUACCUCAUUUCUGUGAAAACAUAGAAAAAACCUCCCUGCAUUUAAAAAUGAUACCCCUGCAAGAGGCUAAGCAUGCAAUUACGUUAGUGUUUUAGUUUGCACCAGCAGUGUCCUUUUCAAUGUACUGAUCAUCCACACUUAACAUGUUUUUAGGUUACAAUGUGAAGUGCACUUGGAGCAAAUAAAUACUUUUCUAUUAGUUGAAACAGGAAAACAAGAUUUAAUCCAGGUGCUUGCUUACUGCAGUCCAACCGUUCACUCCAUGGAUCAGACUAAAGCUAGUACAAAAAAAAACCAAAAACAAUUUUAGUCUCCAUAUGAGGUCAACUGUUUCACACUUUGCAAAUCUCCUCUGGUAGCAGAAUUAGUGCUAAUACAGAUAGAACCAGGAUGGGAAAAGUCAAGUCAACUUCACAAUUUUCCAAAGAGCUUUGUUAUUCAUAUUUACUUAUUUACUUUUUGGAGGAAAAAAGAAAAAAAAAAAAGAAAAAAAA
ensembl:lncRNA